GGGCCUGCACAAGCGGUGGAGCAUGUGGUUUAAUCGAUGCAACGCGAAGAACCUUACCUGGUCUUGACAUAUCAAGAAUCCUGCAGAGAUGCGGGAGUGCCUUCGGGAAUUAGAAUACAGGUGGUGCAUGGCUGUCGUCAGCUCGUGUCGUGAGAUGAUGGGUUAAGUCCCGCAACGAGCGCAACCCUUGUCCUUAGUUACCAGCGGUUUGGCCGGGAACUAUAAGGAUACUGCCAGUGACAAACUGGAGGAAGGCGGGGACGACGUCAAGUCAUCAUGGCCCUUACGACCAGGGCUACACACGUGCUACAAUGGUAGGUACAGAGGGCAGCUACACAGCGAUGUGAUGCGAAUCUCAAAAAGCCUAUCGUAGUCCAGAUUGGAGUCUGCAACUCGACUCCAUGAAGUAGGAAUCGCUAGUAAUCGCGGAUCAGAAUGCCGCGGAGAAUACGUUCCCGGGCCUUGUACACACC
rnacentral:rRNA from 1 species